rnacentral:rRNA from 1 species
UACGAAGGGGGCUAGCGUUGCUCGGAAUCAUUGGGCGUAAAGGGUGCGUAGGCGGCGGGGUAAGUCAGGUGUGAAAUCCCGGAGCUCAACUCCGGAACUGCACUUGAUACUGCCUUGCUCGAGUACUGGAGAGGAGACUGGAAUUUACGGUGUAGCAGUGAAAUGCGUAGAUAUCGUAAGGAAGACCAGUGGCGAAGGCGAGUCUCUGGACAGUUACUGACGCUGAGGCACGAAGGCCAGGGGAGCAAACGGG